rnacentral:rRNA from 1 species
CGGACGGGUGAGUAACGCGUGGGUAACCUGCCUCAUACAGGGGGGUAACAGUUGGAAACGGCUGCUAAUACCGCAUAAGCGCACAGUACCGCAUGGUACGGUGUGAAAAACUCCGGUGGUACAGGAUGGACCCGCGUCUGAUUAGCUGGUUGGUGAGGUAACGGCUCACCAAGGCGACGAUCAGUAGCCGGCUUGAGAGAGUGAACGGCCACAUUGGGACUGAGACACGGCCCAA